rnacentral:tRNA from 6 species
UAUCAUUAUUAUUUUGGCAGAUUAGUGCUUUAAAUUUAGAAUUUAAUUAUGUGGAAAUACACAAAUAAUAC